rnacentral:rRNA from 1 species
UUGACCUCGAAUCAGGUAGGAAUACCCGCUGAACUUAAGCAUAUCAAUAAGCGGAGGAAAAGAAACCAACCGGGAUUACCUCAGUAACGGCGAGUGAAGCGGUAACAGCUCAAAUUUGAAAUCUGGCUCCUCUGGAGUCCGAAUUGUAAUUUGUAGAAGAUGCUUUGGGUUGUGGGUUCGGCCUAAGUUCCUUGGAACAGGACGUCAUAGAGGGUGAGAAUCCCGUAUGUGGCCGAGGCCCGCGCCUAUGUAAAGCUCUUUCAACGAGUCGAGUUGUUUGGGAAUGCAGCUCAAAAUGGGUGGUAAAUUUCAUCUAAAGCUAAAUAUGGGCCAGAGACCGAUAGCGCACAAGUAGAGUGAUCGAAAGAUGAAAAGCACUUUGGAAAGAGAGUUAAACAGUACGUGAAAUUGUUGAAAGGGAAGCGCUUGCACCCAGACUUGGACGCUGCCGAUCACCUUGAGGUCUCCUCGAGUGCACUCGACAGCGUACAGGCCAGCAUCGGUUCGGGUGGCUGGAUAAAGGCCGUAGGAACGUAGCUCUCUUCGGGGAGUGUUAUAGCCUACGGUGCCAUGCAGCCCAGCCGGACCGAGGACCGCGCCUUCGGGCUAGGAUGCUGGCGUAAUGGGUGUAAGCGACCCGUCUUGAAACACGGACCAAGGAGUCUAACAUCUAUGCGAGUGUUUGGGUGGUAAACCCAUACGCGGAAUGAAAGUGAACGUAGGUGAGAACCCCCUU